rnacentral:rRNA from 1 species
CUAACAAGGAUUCCCUUAGUAACUGCGAGUGAAGAGGGAAAAGCUCAAAUUUAAAAUCUGGCAGUGUUUUGCUGUCCGAGUUGUAACCUAGAGAAGUGUAACCUGUGCUGGACCGUGUAUAAGUCUCCUGGAAUGGAGCAUCAUAGAGGGUGAGAAUCCCGUCUUUGACAUGGACUACCAGUGCAUUGUGGUUGCGCACUCAACGAGUCGAGUUGUUUGGGAAUGCAGCUCUAAAUGGGUGGUAAAUUCCAUCUAAAGCUAAAUAUUGGCGAGAGACCGAUAGCGAACAAGUACCGUGAGGGAAAGAUGAAAAGAACUUUGGAAAGAGAGUUAAACAGUAUGUGAAAUUGUUGAAAGGGAAACGUUUGAAGUCAGUCGCGUUGGUUGGGGAUCAGCCUGACAUUGUUGGGUGUACUUCCUGGUUGACGGGCCAACAUCAGUUUUGACUGCCAGAAAAAGGCCAAAGGAAUGUGGCACCUUUGGGUGUGUUAUAGCCAUUGGUCGUAUAUGGUGGUUGGGACUGAGGAAAGCAGCGUGCCGAAAGGCCGGGUUUCGACCACGUUCACGCUGAGGAUGUUGGCAUAAUGGCUUUAAGCGACCCGUCUUGAAACACGGACCAAGGAGUCUAACAUGCGUGCGAGUGUUUGGGUGGAAAACCCUUACGCGUAAUGAAAGUGAAAGUUGAGAUCCCUGUCGCGGGGAGCAUCGACGCCCGGACCAGAACUUUUGGGACGGAUCUGCGGUAGAGCAUGUAUGUUGGGACCCGAAAGAUGGUGAACUAUGCCUGAAUAGGGUGAAGCCAGAGGAAACUCUGGUGGAGGCUCGUAGCGA